CGUGGAUAUCCUUGCACCCCCUGGCUCAUGACUCCUUACCGUAAUCCCAGGCCAGGACCACAGACGGCAUUUAACUCCGCGCUUACUGCCACUAGGCAGCUGGUGGAGCGCACAAUUGGGGUCCUUAAAGGGCGGUUUCGUGUGCUCCACCGCACUGGUGGCGACAUCAUGUAUUCGCCGGAGAUGGCAAGUAAAAUAGUGGUCCUGUGCGCUAUACUACACAACAUCGCGGUAAGGAGUAACGUAGAGCUUCCUCAGACAGAGGAAUUGCCUGAUGAGGAGCCAGGGGUUGUCCGACACUUCGGUGGGGGGAGUGUUACACGGAGGGGGAGCCAAGUCAGGGCAAGCAUUGUUGCGGAAUAUUUCAGCUGAAUGAUCACACAAACUGUGGACGACCACAACGGCAAGCAACACAUGAGGCACCAUCUCAGCCCCCUUCCCCUUCUCACUCCCCCUCCACUUCCCAGUCCCCCUCCCCUUCUCACUCCCCCUCAGCUUCCCAAUCCCCCUCAGCUUCCCAGUCCCCCUCAGCUUCCC